AUUGAACGCUGGCGGAAUGCUUUACACAUGCAAGUCGAACGGCAGCACGGGGGCAGCCCUGGUGGCGAGUGGCGAACGGGUGAGUAAUACAUCGGAACGUGCCCGGUCGUGGGGGAUAACGUAGCGAAAGUUACGCUAAUACCGCAUACGAUCUGAGGAUGAAAGCGGGGGACCUUCGGGCCUCGCGCGAUCGGAGCGGCCGAUGUCAGAUUAGGUAGUUGGUGGGGUAAAGGCCUACCAAGCCGACGAUCUGUAGCUGGUCUGAGAGGACGACCAGCCACACUGGGACUGAGACACGGCCCAGACUCCUACGGGAGGCAGCAGUGGGGAAUUUUGGACAAUGGGCGCAAGCCUGAUCCAGCCAUUCCGCGUGCAGGACGAAGGCCUUCGGGUUGUAAACUGCUUUUGUACGGAACGAAAAGGCUCUGGCUAAUACCUGGGCUCAUGACGGUACCGUAAGAAUAAGCACCGGCUAACUACGUG
rnacentral:rRNA from 1 species